AUUGAACGCUGGCGGCAUGCCUUACACAUGCAAGUCGAACGGUAACAGGUCUUCGGAUGCUGACGAGUGGCGAACGGGUGAGUAAUACAUCGGAACGUGCCCGAGAGUGGGGGAUAACGAGGCGAAAGCUUUGCUAAUACCGCAUACGAUCUAAGGAUGAAAGCAGGGGACCGCAAGGCCUUGCGCUCAUGGAGCGGCCGAUGGCGGAUGAGGUAGUUGGUGGGAUAAAAGCUUACCAGGACGACGAUCUGUAGCUGGUCUGAGAGGACGACCAGCCACACUGGGACUGAGGCACGGCCCAGACUCCUACGGGAGGCAGAAGUGGGGAAUUUUGGACAAUGGGCGCAAGCCUGAUCCAGCCAUGCCGCGUGCAGGAUGAAGGCCUUCGGGUUGUAAACUGCUUUUGUACGGAACGAAAAGACUCCUUCUAAUAAAGGGGGUCCAUGACGGUACCGUAAGAAUAAGCACCGGCUAACUACGUGCCAGCCGCCGCGGUAAAAC
rnacentral:rRNA from 1 species